GGGCCAGCAACCACACAGAGCUCCUCCCACAACUGGGUGCCCAGCUAACUUCAUUAUUAAAGAUGAGAACAGGAUUGUUCCCCAUUCUUAAAACAACUUUGAAAACAGAUGUGGCAUAUUGCCUGAACAUAUUCUCAAAUUUUUGCCUCUGCAUUUGCCAUUGUACCUCAAAUACAUAAACUUCUUUGGCUAAGGACAACACGUGCUUGGCCUAGAAGUCUCAUGUCAGAAUUUUCAAUUAAAUGACUAAAUCAAACCUCAUACAUGUCCCAAGUGCCAAUGUCAACUGAAGAGUGUGCUGUUGGACACAGAGAACAUGGUCUUGAAACAUAUUUUUUUUUCUCUUCUUUUGUCUUAUAUGUGCAACAUUUUAGUUUUGAAAUUUGCCGUUUUUUGGGGGCAAUCUUGGACUAAAGCACACCUAAUAAACAGCUAAUCAUGUUUAUUACAUUAUUUGCCUAUGAUGCGUAGUGUAAGAUGGAGAUGGUACUCCUCCUUGAUCUUCUUCCCCCUGAUAAUGGAACUCAUUUGGCCAGGAGGAUCAAACUCUGCAGCUUUUCUUGAUGUGAACUUGUUUGUUGAACAGCUUUGGAGAAGUCAGAGCAGCUGAGAUUGAUGGAGUGGCUUCCACAGCUGACCUGACGUUGCUGUUGCUCUCAGCAUGAAAACAACAAGGCAUCACAGGAAUGUUAAGUUGAGAACAUUGAGUGGCGACGGUUUCACUGACCACAGCUGAACUGUUAAGGUGUGCUCUCUCUCUCUCUCAUCGGAAUGAAGCAUCAAAGUUUCAAGGUGGUUUGGUGACGCUGUGGUGUUCAAUGUGCAAUUAGUUUGGCUUUUAUGACCUCUCACAAAGGCGUUUUCUUUUGAUGUGCUGAAGAGGCUGAUAACUGAAUGAUGAUUUAACUGUCUGCUCUUAAGUGUUUAAUGAUAACAACAGUAUGAAGAAAUGUGAUUUUCCACAGGGCAUUUUAAUGCAUUUUUAAUCCUGCCAACAAGUUAAAUGGUAUAGUGUUAUUGUUGGAAACUUGGAGCCCUUUUGCAGAAUACAAUAUCUGAAGAUUUUGUGUGUGUGUGUGCAGGAGGGUGUGUGUGUACAUUUGUGUGCGUUCAAAUAUGUUUAAUGCUCCCGAAACUUGAUUCCAACACACUAACAACAGAAUUCAAGGUUACACUGAAUAAUUUCAUUUAAGCGCAGAAGAAAGUUUGUUUUCUGAGUUAUACGUGAGUUUGAAGCUAAUCUUGAAGAAACAUGGCUACAGUAAUGAGAUGUUAUGGUUCCUCUGGCAUGUUUAAUUGUGUCCACAGACGCACAGAAGAAAAACUAUUUUCUCAUUGUUCAGUUUUUCAUAAACAGCACUACUCAUAUUUUAUAAAAUUUAUUAUUAAAGAACAAAAACAGUUGCAUAUAUCGACUAUAAUUCUAAUUUAGAUUGGGGCGUUGUCAUUAACAGACUAAUAAAAAAACAUGCUGUUAAUGAGCUUUUUUAAAAUCUGAGUAGAAGCUAUUUGAGAUCAUUUUUAACGGUCAUUUUCUAUGUAAUCUUUUAUUUUUGUAAAAGAUGAAAUGCAUAUAGAUUUUAUACAAUAACCAAAAGAACACUAAUAACUGCAUGUUGGAUGUAUGCAUUGCAGUGCAGAUAAGCUUUACAAAACCUUUACAGUUCUUCAAAAGUUUAAAUUUGCUAUAAUUGUUUGUGCUAAAUAGAAAAAAAAAAUGAUUUGCUUGGUUGCUUUUCUAAGUGUCUAGGCAAUUAUUUCAUCUCAAAACGCAAGACUGAUCCAACCGAAAAUUAUUAAUGCAAGGUUUCAAUCUCAGGGUUAUGAAAAAUAGUAAUUAAAACAACUUCUGGAAGUAAUGAGAUAAUCAUGUUAUGACUUCAAUGCUCAUGGCCUUUUCUAAAUUGUGAAAGUCAUUUAUGCAAGCCAACGUCACAUAGAUAUUUUAGCAUUGCAGAAAUAUAUCUAAUCUUGCAGUUUAUUAUGAGAGAUGUAUCUUUUUUUUUUCUCUCUUGUUUUGGGUUAUGGUGGGAUGUAAAACUAACAAGUUGUGCAUAGCCAAUAUACUGUAUAUGUACUUGAUUGCUUUUUUUAUUUUGUCCCCCCCAUAUUUUGUUAGUCCGAGGUCAUUGAAAGCAGUUCAGCAUAAUAGAAAUAAACCUAAUCUGUUUAACG